AUAAUAAUAGUAUAAGGAGUAUGUCUGUCUUCCAAACAGAAGGUUCAAAUUUCUGAUUAUUAUA
rnacentral:tRNA from 1 species